UCUUUCUUGUUGAAAAGUUGUUGAACUGCUCUGUGGCUGCUCCUCAUAAUUCUGUUUAAAAGUGUUGUUUUCUUCAAUUUUGGGGUAGAUAAUGAUAGCCUAUGAGACUAUAAUGGAAUACCUUUGAGACAUCAAUUUCCUUGAGGAUAAAAAUGCAUGAAAGGAAGGAUAAAUUUUAUUAUUUUGCCACAUACCUGUACACUCAAAUUUUUCCAGUUAUAGCCUAUUAUUUAAAUUAAAUCCUUUUGAGACAUAAAUUUCCUUGAGGAUGAAAAUGCAUGAGGUUGAGGAUAAAAUCUAUUGCCAAAUAACUUACCAGUGAUGAACACCUGUGCACUCAGAACAUUUUCCAGCCU